rnacentral:rRNA from 1 species
CCUACGGGCGGCAGCAGUCGAGAAUCUUUCACAAUGGGGGCAACCCUGAUGGAGCGACGCCGCGUGGAGGAUAAGGUCUUCGGAUUGUAAACUCCUGUCAUGCGAGAACAAGGUUGCAGGGCUAACACCUUUGCAAAUUGAUGGUACCGCAAGAGGAAGCGACGGCUAACUCUGUGCCAGCAGCCGCGGUAAUACAGAGGUCUCAAGCGUUGUUCGGAAUCGCUGGGCGGAGGGGUGGCAUAGCUGGCGUGAAAGCCCGGGGCUCAACCUCGGAAUUGCAGCCGAUACUGCCAUGGUGGAGUACUGAAGAGGUGACUAGAAUUCUAGGUGUAGCAGUGAAAUGCGUAGAUAUCUAGAGGAAUACCAACGGCGAAGGCAGGUCACUGGGCAGUUACUGACACUGAGGCACGAAGGCCAGGGGAGCAAACGGGAUUAGAUACCCGAGUAGUC